UACGUAGGGUGCAAGCGUUAAUCGGAAUUACUGGGCGUAAAGCGUGCGCAGGCGGUGAUGUAAGACAGUUGUGAAAUCCCCGGGCUCAACCUGGGAACUGCAUCUGUGACUGCAUUGCUGGAGUGCGGCAGAGGGGGAUGGAAUUCCGCGUGUAGCAGUGAAAUGCGUAGAUAUGCGGAGGAACACCGAUGGCGAAGGCAAUCCCCUGGGCCUGCACUGACGCUCAUGCACG
rnacentral:rRNA from 1 species